GAAGAGCGUGCGAGGAAGUCCCGUUCAAGUGAGAGGAGUAAAAUACAUUUUUCAUAUAAAAGUACUUUGUUGUGCACAUACAAUAAAUAGCAAACGAUUAUUCAUGCGUACAACCAAAUAAAACGAUGUAAAUGGACUCAUUUUGUAGAGGACAACCUACGCUAACAGACCAUGUAGUAUUUUGUGGCCAUUAAUAUGCACUUUCUGAGACAGUUGACGCUCAAGUUUCACUGCAGAGGAGCGGUUUUUCAGACAAGGUGCUAUGACACAACAAGCUAGCCCAGGCUUCAGAUUACCACACUAUGACAUCACCAUAUAAGGAGUGGAAGUUAGGGAAGUUGACUGUGAGAAUGACACAUUAAGACUCUGCCUACUCUGUCUGUAAAGCUACCUCAAGACAAACAGCAAUGAUCAACAGAAGCCCCCUGCCUGACUUCAUUCUGGAUUAAACCAUCUGUGCUGUAAGAUCUGCUGUAAUGAGGGUCGUUCGACUGGAUCACGUGCUAAACACUGUCUUAUAAGACUACAACAUUCUGUAAAGAUGAGAGCUGUGCUAUUCAUUUACCUUCGGAUAAGUUGGGAUUAGCAAACUGGACUUCUUUGGACUUCACAUACGACUUGUAUCCAUUAACCAUUUCAUACAGGACCAUUCAUAGACACCAGACGUUUGCUGGAAUGGCAUGAAACUUCCGGUUCCAUCUGACUUCCGGUGGAAAGAAAUCUUUUACCCCUGUAAACAAAGCAAAUCUGUAAAAGUGAUUUUUCCACAUUGUGCUAUAGGAAAACAAAAUGUCAACUCACCUAUGUACUUGUGACUUUUGUAGGCGCCAUAAGUAUAUAGCUGACCACAACCGAAGUCAAUCAGCUUGGUGUCUAGCGUUGUUGUGUUGACUAGGAAGUUGCCUGGAUGGAUGUCGCUGUGAAAGACUUCGUGGUCAUAGCAGUUUAUUACUGCCUGAACUGUUUGACGCAUUAUUACACGAGCGGUUUCUUCACUCAGUGUACGAUUGCAUUGGAUGAUGUGGUCCAAGCCUAGGCAGGGUUGAGGGUACUCCAUAAUAAUGAUGAUGUCGUUUGAGUCUAUGAACCACUCCACAUUUUUAUGGCAUAUUGACUUAUGGGAGGUUCAUUCAUCUUAAUCAGGAGUGCCACUUCUACAGGCAGAGGUUUGGAAUGUCCCGGCUAAAGAAAGAAGACAAAAAAAAAGAAAAUUAAAGAAAAAAUGUAAAUUAUCACAAACAAUUAUAUGUUCAGUAAGAUUUGCCAUUCACAAUAACAAUGGUCUGUCUAUUCAGCCGCCUGGACAUGAUUUUUAUGGCAACCUGCAAAAGAAAAACUGAUAUAACAAAAAAGUCCUCGUUUGGCUGCAUUGGUUCCACUUUAUUCUUAAAACAGCGGUUUAAGGUUUGCUUAGCCUUUUUCCACUUCCUCUUAAAAAACCCACGGAUUCCCGUCUACUUUUUCUUUGUGGCAAUUUCUUCUAAAUCGAAGGGCAAAACGUAAUUAGUAAAAAAACAUCUCUGAUCACAGAUUAAAUGUGAAUUAUUUGUUGCAGCUUGUAUUUGGUUCAUUUCAUCUUACCUUUCAUGCCAUGAUCACUGUCCAGUCUUGUGGGUUCUCCAUUUGUACUGUCUUCAACAGUGUAUGUUUUGUACAAGCUCUCACUGGAGCUGCUUUCAGUUGACAGACUAGAUUCUUCCGACUGGGACGAGAAAGAAUCGCUGCCAAGGCCAAACGGCUUCGGUCUGUCAACAUCUUUCCUCUGAUCAGCUCCGCACUCAUCGACGGGAAAAACUAUUGUUUGCUCUAAAUCGAAGAGCAAAACAUAAUUAGUAAAAAAACAUCUCUGAUUAAAUAUGAAUUAUUUGUUGCAGCUUGUAUUUGGCUCUAUCUUAGUGUAUUUGGCUCAUGUCAUCUUACCUUUUAUGCCUUGAUCAACAAUGUAUGUUUUGUAAGAGCUUUCACUGGAGCUGCUGUCAUUUGACGGAUCAGGGAAAGAAUCGCUGCUUAAAGUAAACAGCAUUGGUGCUGGCUCACCAAUAACUCCGCACUCAUCAACGGAGAGGGACAAGCUGUACGAAGGGUACGUGCUGUCCGAAUGGGACUUGUCCGAAUGGGACCUGACGCCCGCUCCAGAAAUGAGAUCUGCGUCAGAAGUUUGGCCUGGCAUAGACCAAACCCUAGCUGCACUGUCAUUCAUAACCGGACGUGCAUCAGAUGUAGCGUCGAACCAGCGGGAACCUGAAGGCCCUUGCUCGAGGCUUGAUGCACAUGGGACAGACAGCCCUGGAUUAAAUAAACUUGUGCCCGGAUUUUAGUGGUGGAACGAAAGGCUCCACUUUGUGGCGGCUGAGGAAACGGCGCUUUGCAGCCAUCCAAGUUCCUUUGAUGAACCCGCAGAUCCCUGCGCCAUUCCUCCCUUCACCACGUUGUUCUGAAACAGAGAACCAAACAUUUGUACAUUGGAAGAAAUUUAAGCUGUUAUGGUGACUACAUGUAUACUGUAUUGUUUUUAAUGCUAUUGUUGUGUAGGUUAUGCUAUUUGUAUUAGAAAAUGGAUUUAUUUGAACAUGUUUAUACUCAUCCAAUGUGAUGUAUGUUAUCUAUUGUUGUAUUUUGCCGUUUUACACCGCUUCCAUUAACAAUGCUUGAAGAUAGUUCUGUUUUGAGUACUUAAGUGUUAAGUUUUCUGCAUAGCUGAAUAUCUGAGCGGUUUAGUGAGGGCAGCACAUAACUAAUAUCAGCAUAAAUGUUCCACUCACCCUUUGGGCUGUCAUCCCACUUUCUGCUAGUGGAGGGCAAUGCAUCCCGUGACUGGAUGUUAUUCAGAUCAGGGACACGGCCACCUCCAACACUAGCUUCCAGUCCCUCGGUGUUGUUGAGGGACAGACCUGCUGAGGACACAAUGUUAAGUAGUCAGAUGAGUAGAUGUUGCUUAACCUAGCACAAUGAAGACCUGACCCCAUUUCAUCUCACCUUUUGGACUUUGGUCCACAGUGUGUAUCGGUGACACCUUCAUGAGCUUUCCAUCAGCGGAGAGCGACGAAUCCCACGAUCGAACGUGAAUCAAUUGGGGGAAUCGGUCACUGCGCCCUCCGACGUCCAGUCCAUGGACUUCUCUCCUCUCAUCAAUGCCAGCCUCAGUGUUGGUGAGGGGCAAAACUAAAAAUAGAAGAAAACUGUGAGCUUUUACAAAAUCACCACAUAGUGUGUGAUAAGCUGUGGGUAUUUACAAAUUUUUAUAUAUAUUUAUUGCACAGUUGGGUCAGAAGACAAGGUGUCUUUGUGUGCGAAUCUAUUAAUAAAGAUAAUUACAUUUUUUUGUCUUGAUUGUUGGACUUUCGUCCACAGUGUGUGUUGAAGACACCCGCAUGAGCUUUCCAUCAGCGGAAAGCGACGAAUCCCACGAUCGAACGUGAAUCAAUUCGGGGAAUCGGUCACUGAGCCCGCCGAAGUCCAGUCCAUGGGCAUCUUUACACUCACUGGUGCCAGCCUCGAUGUUGGUGAGGGGCCAACCAGCUGAGGACAUAAAGUCAGAUGAGUGGUCAAAUGAGAAAACACUUGUGUUUGUAAACUUGUGUAUUCCUGCACUCUCUUUCUCUCUUUUUUCUCCAAAGUUAAUAAACUGAAAAUACAAGAAAAAUAUUGACCAUGUACCCAAUUUUCUCAUUAGAAUUAAAUUACACAUUGUGUGAUAACAUAGUGUGUGACAUUUAAGUUGAUAUUCAGACAUUUUCAUGUACUUUUUAAUAUACUCAGGGUUGUGGCAAGAUUUUUUUUUGGGGGGGGGGUACUCGCAUGUAUAAUAACUGUUAUGAUCACCCCAUCAUUCCUUUAAUACAUGUGUUAAUUUUGCUAAUCACCUUUAUUU